AAGAAAUUGAAUUUGUGUUCAAUCUUGUCUCCAGUGAACUGAUUAGAUGUUUUCUAUUUUCUUCCAUCUUUGGGUAAAAACCUGGUUUCAAAACAGAAGGAGAAAGUUUAGGAGGAGGUCACAUCCUCAGCAUCUCAAUCAGGGUGUCCCAUUUCAUUUUCAGGGAGAGGGACAGCCCCCACUCAAGCAGCAGUAAACCCAGCAUUAGAGGUCAUCAGGUCUUUAAGACAUUCCUGCAGUUUAACUCAUUGGUGUGUGCUUGAUGUUUGUUGUGUAUUUGCUGCUAUGACAACUAAUCUUUCCUCUGGGAAUAAUAAAGUCUCUGUGAUGCGCUCUUA